rnacentral:rRNA from 1 species
GAUGAACGCUAGCGGCAGGCUUAACACAUGCAAGUCGAGGGGUAACGAUGUCUUCGGACAGGCGACGACCGGCGCACGGGUGCGUAACGCGUAUGCAACCUACCUUUAACUGGAGGAUAGCCCCGAGAAAUCGGGAUUAAUACUCCAUAGUAUUUAAUAGUGGCAUCACUAUUAACUUAAAGCUCCGGCGGUUAAAGAUGGGCAUGCGUGACAUUAGUUUGUUGGUGAGGUAACGGCUCACCAAGACUACGAUGUCUAGGGGUUCUGAGAGGAUGAUCCCCCACACUGGUACUGAGACACGGACCAG